rnacentral:rRNA from 1 species
AUGAGUGUUUUAAGCUGGAACUGCCCGGGGCUUGGGAACCCCGAGGCAGUUCGGGAGCUUCGCAGUAUAGUGAAGCUUGAAGACCCCUCCCUUCUCUUUGUAAUGGAAACUAAAAUCAAAGCAAAAAGAGUUGAGGAUCUGAAGUUUACGCUUGGUUUUGCAGGCAGUUUUGCAGUUGACAGUGUUGGCCUUAGUGGCGGCAUAGGUCUUUUUUGGUCCAGAGAUGUGACCGUUGAUUUGAAAUUUUUUAGUAAGAAUCAUAUUGAUGUAUUGGUUCAUAGCAAUAAUCAGAACGCUUAUGUUUGGCGUUUUACUGGUUUUUACGGAGCACCGCGAGCGGAAGAGAGACACCACAGUUGGCGGUUCUUGCGUACUUUGCAUACAUACCCCAUAGUGCCUGGUUGUGCAUGGGAGAUUGUAAUGAAACUUUGUAUGCAUGUGAGCACUUCAGCAGAGCAGCACGGUCUGAAACUCACAUGA